AGCAACCAUUUUUUCAAGGGAAAGAACAUGGCUUUGGCUGUUGGAUCAUCUGGAAUCAGACUAGCAUCUACAUCAGAGAGAAAAGCUCUCACCAUGUGACUUUGUGCAGCAGUCUUCUGAAUCUUGGGACACAGACAUGCUUUGUACAUCUGUUGCGGUCUGUUGGGGCCUGGAAGAGCCACACAUUUCUACAUCAAAACAUCACGCUCAGGAUGCAGCACAGUGAUAGAGUAUUUGGGGGGAAAAUCACCCAAUUUGUUCUGUUGGGUUAAUAAAAGUAGCCACACUGUUUUCCACA